rnacentral:lncRNA from 1 species
CCAGAAUGUCUUGUUUUGCAUGUUUUUAUCCUCAGAUCUUUAAAACUAGCCACAUCUAAGGCUCAGUAUUUGGUCACACACAUUAAUUCUUUCUGUUUGGUGUUUUGUUACAUGAGAAAUAAUUUGAUACACACCCAUGGUAUUUUACAGAUAAUUGUGUUAUAACCAACUUAUUCUAUUGCUUAUAAUUUUGCAUUGGAUAAGUGUUUUGCCUUUGUCCUUAAGUGAGUUCAUGUGUGAAUGGUCGAUCUAUACUGACUAUAUCUAAGAUCACUGUUCUCAAAAGUCUUGGACAAGAAAGGAGAUGGGAUACAUCUCACCAAAAUCAAAGCAGAUUAUGACAUGUGUGCUAUGAAGGGAAAAAAAAAAUUGUGGGCUGGGUGCAGUGGCUCAUGCCUGUAAUCACAGAACUUUGGGAGGCCAAGGUGGGCGGAUCACUUGAGGCGGGAGUU